rnacentral:rRNA from 1 species
AUUGAACGCUGGCGGCAGGCCUAACACAUGCAAGUCGAGCGGUAGAGAGAAGCUUGCUUCUCUUGAGAGCGGCGGACGGGUGAGUAAUGCCUAGGAAUCUGCCUGGUAGUGGGGGAUAACGUUCGGAAACGGACGCUAAUACCGCAUACGUCCUACGGGAGAAAGCAGGGGACCUUCGGGCCUUGCGCUAUCAGAUGAGCCUAGGUCGGAUUAGCUAGUUGGUGGGGUAAUGGCUCACCAAGGCGACGAUCCGUAACUGGUCUGAGAGGAUGAUCAGUCACACUGGACCUGAGACACGGUCCAGACUCCUACGGGAGGCAGCAGUGGGGAAUAUUGGACAAUGGGCGAAAGCCUGAUCCAGCCAUGCCGCGUGUGUGAAGAAGGUCUUCGGAUUGUAAAGCACUUUAAGUUGGGAGGAAGGGCAGUAAAUUAAUACUUUGCUGUUUUGACGUUACCGACAGAAUAAGCACCGGCUAACUCUGU